rnacentral:antisense_RNA from 1 species
UGUUAUGGGCGGGCUGUGUGGUGGCCCUUCGGGGCGCCGGUCCCUGAGCCCGGUACGCCAACGCCGCACGGUCCGCUCUCCAGA